rnacentral:rRNA from 1 species
ACAAGCGGUGGAGUAUGUGGUUUAAUUCGAUGCAACGCGAAGAACCUUACCUGGUCUUGACAUCCCGGAGACCCUUAGGAAACUAGGGGGUGCUUCCAUCUGGAAGAAUCUGGAGACAGGUGCUGCAUGGCUGUCGUCAGCUCGUGUCGUGAGAUGUUGGGUUAAGUCCCGUAACGAGCGCAACCCUUGUCCUUAGUUACCAGCACGUUAUGGUGGGCACUCUAAGGAGACUGCCGGUGUUAAACCGGAGGAAGGUGGGGAUGACGUCAAGUCCUCAUGGCCUUUAUGACCAGGGCUACACACGUACUACAAUGGCCGAUACAAAGGGCAGCGACACUGCGAGGUGAAGCCAAUCCCGUAAAAUCGGUCUCAGUCCGGAUUGGAGUCUGCAACUCGACUCCAUGAAGUUGGAAUCGCUAGUAAUCGUGGAUCAGCAUGCCACGGUGAAUACGUUCCCGGGCCUU